AUAAUAAAAAAAACAAAACUGUAUAAAUGACAAACAAAACAAUCAAAGACACUAUUUUAUUGUAAAUGUAUAAAAAAAUAACCAAUUUUUAUUUGAAAAAAAAACCCAGAUACACCUAUGCUAUGAAUGAUUCCUAUUAGUGUCCUUUAUUGAUCCCUCCCUCUCUUGUUAUCCUUUCUCGACUUUCCUAAAAGGCAGCAUUUAAAAUGUUCCAAUCAGAUUCUUCUUGCCAGUAAAAAACAGCUUAGAAAUGAAAUCCAGGGUCAAAGACGCACUGAAUUUAUAGACUGAGUUCCAAGACUCUUUAAAAUUUUUAGGAUCUACUAACCCUUAUUGGCUGAGAACUAGACCCAGUACAAGAUGUUGUAAGAAUCCAAAAGACAAGCUAGCUUGCUAUCCAAUAUUAAAAGUUUGUCUAGUAAUGGAUUACUCCAACCCCUAUGACCAGGACUGCUUUUAGAAGUGCUCAUCUUGAAAUGCUACUUAUACACAAUAAUCUGCACUUUUGUUCCGAGGUCCAGUUGCAGCACUAGCACAUAUGACUUAGGCAGUCCGGAACUCUGUUCUAGACUGCCUCAUGUAAAUUUUGUGCAAAAACGAAAUCUUCUGUCAGCACGCACUGCACGCUGGCGACACAAUAAUCACUUGUCAGCAUGCCUACAGUGUGAAGCCUUCUAUCUGUCCCUCUUUUACAUUACAAUAUUAAAUUUAGCCCUCCUCUUGAUAUACAUUUGAAACUUGAGAUCUCCCCUCGUGCCACCUUCUCUUGAUGCAACCCUCCCUCCCUAGGGAUAAAAAAAGCCGAGUGGAUUGUGGAGAACCUGCCCCAAAGUUAAUUCACUGUCAGUUUUAAUCUAUUUUCAGAGGUUUUUAGCUAAUAAAAUGCACAGGAACCAAAUGACAAAUGGACAAUAGGGAAAUAUAAGCCCCGCAAAAAUAAUAAUAAAAAAAGGGUUUGAUUAAACAUUUAAACAUGGAGUUGUCUUUCAUCACAUCCUGAUAACUAAUAAAUUACACAUACAAAUAAAGUGUUCUGUGUGAUAAGGCACUUAAAUAGAAAUAGAGGUGCUCUCAAGUAUAGCAGCUUCCACACAUAAAUAGGAACUCCCCAAUCCUACUAUAAUUAGUGCAAAAAGAAAACACUAUUAUACAACCAAAUGACAAUAGUGAAAAGGGUAGCGCUGAAAAAUAGUAACAACUUACUCCCAAAAGUUUGGGGACAUUGAGGUUAUAGAGACUACUGUAGGGAAAAAUAAAAGGUACAUGGUUUAGUACAGUAAUGCCCAAUGGGAUUAUUAACUCCUAAUGAAAAGCACUCACGUGGUUUAGAGCCUAAUGAGGAUUGGCUCUAAUCACUUGCGCUCUUGUGUACUCUGGGUGACACACACCCUAUGAAUCCAUAUUCAGUGAUGACCUCAAUAACAUGGAGAGAAAAAAGAGAGAGAAACAGGGAAACUUGCCCUGGUGCGGAAAUCUUCAAUAAGAUAUUGUACAAUAAUAAAGAUACAGGUUGCUUCUCACCUUAUUAAGAGCCUAUAACCUGGCUCUAAGUGUACAUGUGUAUGAGUCUUUGUUUAGGGUGACACUGCUCUUCUUUUAACAGGAUAGAUGUUCCACCAGACAGUGUAUUCCAAAUAAAAAAUAACAUUUAUUUUAUUCUCAAUUGAGAAAUUCAACGGAAUCGGCGAAACGCAUUUUGGACGACGAUAUAAGCACUUUGUAUGUAUUCAUUGAUUUUAAUUUUUGAAUAUAAUAAAUGUUAUUUUUUAUUUAGAAUACACUGUCUGGUGCAUAUAUAUAUGUAUGUGUGUAUGUAUGUGAUGAUUGUCAAGGGGUUUAAACAUCCUCCUAUAAUUUUUAUUUGUGCUAUAGUAUUGCACUCACAUCUACAUGUCCUGGAAGAUUUCAGUGUAGAGUAGCAAUUUAACUAAUGGUUAAGUACAUAGAUUUAUAGAUUCUACAUCUAUUCCAUUUCCUUGGGUUAGAGAACUUGGAGUAUUGGAACCAUUUUUAUACAUUUGAAUAAUUCGUUUUUGAAUAUAAUUAUUAAUAUUAAUAUUAAUUUAGUUGUCUUUUUUGAUUAGGAUGUUACAGGGAAAUCAUUGUAAUAAAUAGUUCAACACUUCCCCUGUGCAAGUGAAAACACACAUAAAUGUGAAAAAAAA